rnacentral:rRNA from 1 species
CGCCUGGGGAGUACGGCCGCAAGGUUAAAACUCAAAUGAAUUGACGGGGGCCCGCACAAGCGGUGGAGCAUGUGGUUUAAUUCGACGCAACGCGAAGAACCUUACCUGGCCUUGACAUGCAGAGAACUUUCCAGAGAUGGAUUGGUGCCUUCGGGAACUCUGACACAGGUGCUGCAUGGCCGUCGUCAGCUCGUGUCGUGAGAUGUUAGGUUAAGUCCCGUAACGAGCGCAACCCCUAUCCCUAGUUGCUAGCAGUUCGGCUGAGAACUCUAGGGAGACUGCCGGUGACAAACCGGAGGAAGGUGGGGAUGACGUCAGGUCAUCAUGGCCCUUACGGCCAGGGCUACACACGUGCUACAAUGGUGCGCACAGAGGGCUGCAAACCCGCGAGGGGGAGCCAAUCUCACAAAACGCAUCGUAGUCCGGAUCGCAGUCUGCAACUCGACUGCGUGAAGUCGGAAUCGCUAGUAAUCGUGAAUCAGAAUGUCACGGUGAAUACGUUCCCGGGCCUUGUACACACCGCCCGUCACACCAUGGGAGUGGAUUGCACCAGAAGUGGUUAGUCUAACCUUCGGGAGGACGAUCACCACGGUGUGGUUCAUGACUGGGGUGAAGUCGUAACAAGGUAACCGUA